CAUGGGUAUAAUACGACCUGGG
rnacentral:miRNA from 1 species